rnacentral:rRNA from 1 species
AUUGAACGCUGGCGGCAGGCCUAACACAUGCAAGUCGAGCGGAUGAAGGGAGCUUGCUCCUGGAUUCAGCGGCGGACGGGUGAGUGAUGCCUAGGAAUCUGCCUGGUAGUGGGGGAUAACGUCCGGAAACGGGCGCUAAUACCGCAUACGUCCUGAGGGAGAAAGUGGGGGAUCUUCGGACCUCACGCUAUCAGAUGAGCCUAGGUCGGAUUAGCUAGUUGGUGGGGUAAAGGCCUACCAAGGCGACGAUCCGUAACUGGUCUGAGAGGAUGAUCAGUCACACUGGAACUGAGACACGGUCCAGACUCCUACGGGAGGCAGCAGUGGGGAAUAUUGGACAAUGGGCGAAAGCCUGAUCCAGCCAUGCCGCGUGUGUGAAGAAGGUCUUCGGAUUGUAAAGCACUUUAAGUUGGGAGGAAGGGCAGUAAGUUAAUACCUUGCCGUUUUGACGUUACCAACAGAAUAAGCACCGGCUAACUUCGUG